rnacentral:lncRNA from 1 species
AUAAAAUGAAAUUAAAAAGGUAAAUUACUUAACAUUUGUUAUUCUUGAAAUAUAAUUUUCCAAUUUGAGUUAGGAAGAGAGAAAAGUGAGAAAAGAAACACAAACAUGUAAGAUACAAAUAUAGAAGUCAAUGGUAAUGACUUCUCCAUUUAUUAGAAAUUUAAAUUAAAUAGUUUUUAUGUAUGAUAAUAAGAAAUAGGGUUGAAGGUUUUACCAAUAUAUUUCAACACACAAAAAUCCAAUUUCAUUUUUUUUUGUUUAUGCUAGGUUAGUCUAAUUUAUAUAAUCACCUAAAUGACACUGGACAAAUAAAACCCAUUCCACUUCAUCCUUGGAAAAAGAAUGGAUCAUUCCUUACCAAUCAGAGCCCAUCACAACAGAUCAACUUUUUGAAAUUCACUAAUUGGAAUUUAGCAAUAAACACUGUAAAAUUUCACAACAUGAUAUACCUCAUAAAAUGUGCCAGUUUGAUGGCCACAGGAAAAAAAUAUAGAAUGGAAGAAAAAUAUCUUAAUAAUAACACCCAUUUAAACAUUUUUUGUCUCUCAAAUAUACACAACUUUUGUAAUUCCUUUGCUGUUGUUUCAGGCACAGCAUGUAGUGAGUUCAGUGCAUUCUUUUGGGAAGCAAAUAGCACAGAUCACUCAGAUUGUCUCUUCAUAAUCAAAAGUUGCAAAAAUGUAUUUUUAAAAGUGUUAAGUUAAAACUCAUGAAUACAUUUGAUGGAAUUCUGCUUCCAGGUUAGAUGGAUUAUCUGGCAGCAAAAAGCAACCAUGAAAAUUGGCUAAAUAUCAGAAAUUACCUCUCUACAGCAACAGAGGUCAGAUGAUAGGAUAAGAAAUGAGUGGCUUAGGAUUUCUGAAAAGAAUGCUUUGGGAUGAGAACUAAGUCCUACAGUCAGUUUUCUUCCAAGGAAAUUUGCUAAGUCAGGAAACAAACAACAGAUGCUUAACAGGGACAGACUAACUUCCAUAGCCUUUAGUAGUCUGUAAGAUUCAAGCUCAGGAUCAGUUUCCCCAUUUAGGUCACUUGUCAAACUCAGCACAGCCCAGGGCAGAAGUCUAAAAACCCAAGUGGAAAAUUCUUAGAAAGCAGGAUGAAAUUUUCUUUACUAUUUGAAGAUUAGAGUUUGGGAUCUGCCAUGGGAAGAGGCAUAGAAAAUAUACCAAUUUUUCAAUUGACAAUUCUGUAGACAAGGUACUUUUUAGGAUAGCAAGGAACCUUGACUAAACUAAGUGUGUUUCACUUUAGCCCAAUUUGACUAGUUAGAGUUCUAUCAGGCCAACAGAGGAAAAAGUGAACCCUCCUGGUUCAAUAUCACUUUGAUCCUGGACAUCUUUUUACAUAAAUAUCGAGAAUUCAGUAAAAAGUUACAAGCCACCUACACACAAAACUGGAUGAUCUAAGUAAAAUCAAGAGAAAAAACACAAAACAAAUGACUUCCAGAUAAUCUAGAUAGUAGAAUUAAUGUUAGAAUAAGCAUGAAUAAUAUAUCAAAAAUAAGGAACAAUAGAGAAAAUAGAUGUAAAGAGAAUUUCACCUGACAACUGAAAUCUUAAAAUGGACAUUCAUUCUUUAGCUGCAAAAUUAUAAUAUUUGAUGUAAAACUGUUGAAAUAGUUUAAUGUCAUAGAUAUAAAAGACUACAGGAUUAGUGGAAGUGAAACAGAUCAAUAUAAAAUAUUCAAAUAGGAACCCAAAAAUAAUGAAAAACAACAUUAUUGAAAAACUCUAACUUACAUAUGAUUGUAAUCCUAGAAGGAUAAGAGGGAGUAGAGUGGUAAUAAGCAGUAUUUGAACAGUUAAUGACCAAGAAUUUUCCAAAAUUGUGUCUUUAAAUCUUCAAGAUACUCAGAGAAACCCAAUCAGGAUAAAAAUUUUUAAAAAGUCCAAAAAUCAAAACCAAAAGUCAAGAUACAAGUCAAAGAGAAAAAAAAUCUCAAAAGCUAUCACCUAAAAUAUCACAUAUUACUUUUAAAGAAGCAUGGGUAAAACUAACCUUCAACAUGUUAUCUUUUAAAGACAAGAAAAUUAUUAAUAGACUAUAAUUCUAUCACCAGCAAACAUUUCCCUCAGCAAUGAAGUUGUCAAAGAAGCAAAAACUGACAGAGUUAAUCACAGUCACACCUGCACUAGUGGAAAUACUUCCAGUGGAAUUCAUUAGGCAGAAAGAAAACAGUCCUAAAAAGAUCACAGAUUUGCAGGAAGAAAUAAAAAGACAGGAAGGGUAAAUAUAAAUGAGUAUUGAUUUAAUGUUGAUUAUACUGGGCACUAUUAGUAGUUUCUUUAAGGAUUUAAAAUAUGCAUUAAUGUUGGGGUCUGUAAACAGGUCAAGAUGGCGCCUGGCAUUUUGCCAGAGGGGGUGGUUUGUGAAGUAACGCCAGCGAGCCAUUAAGUGUGGAGAUUCCUUAUUGGUUGACUGCUGUAUCUAGUUUAUGUUAAUCAAGAUAAGCUGUGUGUAAUGUGUAUAUACCCCUCCGGUCCUACAAUAAAUGGCUCCUACUCCUGCUGUAUCAAUGUACACAAGUUGUUCGUCACCCCCCCCCCCCGGUUAUUUUGCUGCAGCCGGACUGUGGCACAUUAAAUUUAAGUUCAUAACAACAACAACAAUGUGAGAGGUAGAGGCACAGAUUUGGAGAGUUCUAAUGUUUUAAUUAAAAUUAUGGUGAUAUUCAGAUCAAUAAUUUGUAUUAGAUUCUUAUAGAUCAAAGAUCAUGCUGUGAUUUCUUGAAUAGCCUCUUAAAGAAUAACUAAAAAUCUAUUUGAUGGGAAAUUUUUAUAUAACAAAUAUUUGAAUACCAAAAGAAGAACAAAAUUUCUGGGAUAAGUAAAAAAUAAUUAGAUGUUAAUUAUAGAUGGGCAGAUAUCAAAUAUUACAUUAAUAAUACAAUUAAGCUAACAGUAUUGUACACCAGAUUUAAGAAAAACUCAAUAUUGCUAUCAUAUGUAUGUGUAUGUGAUAGAACACAGAAAAUUGAAAGUUUAAAAAUGGAAUAAGGUAUGUACUACAAAUACUAGCCUUUUAGUGUAGCUAUAUUCACAAAAGACCAAGGAGACUUUAAGGAAAGAUACAUUGCUAGGAAGAGAGAUGUUUUAUAAUAAUAUGAAAAUAUAACAGAAAUAUGUGAGAAAUAUUUCCCCAUAAGAAAUAUUUUUACUACAGAGUUAAAAAAAGUCAAAUUGAUGAAGUACAAAUGAAAAGUAGACAAACCACAAACCUCUCAAUUCUGAUAGAAUAAGAAGACAAAACACAUAUGUGCCCCUGUAUAUACACACAUACACACAUACAAGAAUAUUGAAGAUAUCAAUAACACAAAACAUAUUUAAACACAUCAACAUCCAUAGCACACUCAUGCAUACACAAUUUUGUUACACAUAUUUGAAAUAUGAAAAUUUCCCAUAUUCUGGGUUAUAAAACAAGCCUCAUUUUAAAAUAAAAGACAUUGAGAUGACUCAUUAUACUUUUUGACUGCAGCAGAAUAAGGAAAAAAAUGAAAAUAUGACAAAUCCCCAAAUGCUUCAAAAUUAAUUAAUAAAACCCAAAUCAAAUUUGAAAUCACAGCAGAAAUUUCCAAACAUUUUCAAAUAUGCAAAGUUUAAGAACUGACGCAUAUACUCCACUGAACUUCUAUUCUGUCUUCCCCUUAGUGUGGAUUAACUUCCACAUAUUAGAGAAUACAUUUGAACUUUAAUUUUUUUUGGAUUGACCUAUUUCACUUAGCAUGAUAGUCUCCAAUUGAUCCAUUUACUAGCAAAUGUCAUAAAGUCAUUUCUAUGUAUGUCUGAUUAAUACCCUGUUUGUAUAUAUGCCACAUUUUCUUUAUCCAUUCAUCUGUUGGGCACCUAGGUUGGCUCCAUAGCUUAUUGUGAAUUGUGCUGCUGUAAACAUUGAUGUGGCUGUAUUACUGGAGUAAGUUGAUUUUUAAUCUGUCAUAAUCUUCAUAUGUAUGUACAUGAAUAAACCACAGCGAAUCUCACCAUUGGGUACAUGCAACAAGAAAUUAAUUUAAGAAAAAAAAUUAUGGAUAAAUGGCAAAAAGAUCAAUAGAGGGAAGAGGGAAGGGGAAGGAGAGGUACUGGGGUCUUAAUUAGAACAAAAUAUAUUCAGUGCUUGUAUAAUAAUGUCAAAAUGGAUUCUAAUGUCAUGUGUAACUAA